CAACUUGAGAGUUUGAUCCUGGCUCAGAACGAACGCUGGCGGCAGGCCUAACACAUGCAAGUCGAACGCUCCGCAAGGGGAGUGGUGCACGGGAGAGUAACGCGUGGGAACCUACCUAUUGGUUCGGGACAACACCGGGAAACUGGUGCUAAUACCGGAA
rnacentral:rRNA from 1 species